AUUGAACGCUGGCGGCAGGCCUAACACAUGCAAGUCGAACGAGUGGCGGACGGGUGCGUAAUGUCUGGGAAACUGCCUGAUGGCGGGGGAUAACUACUGGAAACGGUCGCUAAUACCGCAUACCAUCAGAUGUGCCCAGAUGGGAUUGGCUAGUUGGUGGGGUAACGGCUCACCAAGGCAACGAUCCCUAGCUGGUCUGAGAGGAUGACCAGCCAAACGGGAAUUGAGACACGGUCCAGAAUCCUACGGGAGACAGCAGUGGGGAAUAUUGCACAAUGGGCGCAAGCCUGAUGCAGCCAGGCCGCGUGUAUGAAGAAGGCCUUCGGGUUGUAAAGUACUUUCAUAGGGGAGGCGUUACCCGCAGAAGAAGCACCGGCUAACUCCGUGCCAGCAGCCGCGGUAAUUC
rnacentral:rRNA from 1 species